rnacentral:misc_RNA from 1 species
GAUGAAGAACGUAGCGAAAUGCGAUAAGUAAUGUGAAUUGCAGAAUUCAGUGAAUCAUCGAAUCUUUGAACGCACAUUUCGCCCCCCAGUAUUCUGGCGGGCAUGCCUGUUCGAGCGUCAUUUCAACCAUCAAGCCCUGCUUGUGUUGGGGUCCUGCGGCUGCCCGCAGGCCCUGAAAACCAGUGGCGGGCUCGCUAGUCACACCGAGCGCAGUAGCACAUCUCGCUCAGGGCGUGCGGCGGGCUCCAGCCGUUAAAGCACCCACCUUUCGCAAGGUUGACCUCGGAUCAGGUAGGAAUACCCGCUGAACUUAAGCAUAUCAAUAAGCGGAGGA